rnacentral:tRNA from 1 species
GGAGAGGUGUCCGAGCCUGGCUGAAGGAGCACGAUUGGAAAUCGUGUGUAGGGUCACAAACUCUACCGCGGGUUCGAAUCCCGCCCUCUCCGCCA